GUGCGUGUAGUCAGUUUCAGUAAAUGGCCAAUUUGAAACUGCUGAGAUUUUAUUUAAGAGGCAGACAGCCAGGAGAGUGUUCACAUUUGCUGGUUCCUUCCCAGAUGCUCCCGGUGGCCUGCCGAGCUGGGCCAAGGCUAAAGCUAGGCCUUGGGAAUGCAAUCCAGCUCUCCCGUGGAGGUGGUUGGAACGAUCAAGGCCUAGAUUGGAACGAAUGCGCUUUUGCCAGGUUCUUGCCUGCUAGAGAAGCAGCCUAGGAAUAGGUCCAACUACAGACAAGGGGUCAAGUCAAGUGCUACUGGUUGGUUGUGUGACCUUA